rnacentral:rRNA from 1 species
AGCUUGCUCUUCUUGGAUGAGAUGCGAACGGGUGAUUAACGCGUAGGUAACCUGCCUUGUAGCGGGGGAUAACUAUUGGAAACGAUAGCUAAUACCGCAUAACAAUGGAUGACACAUGUCAUUUAUUUGAAAGGGGCAAAUGCUCCACUACAAGAUGGACCUGCGUUGUAUUAGCUAGUAGGUGAGGUAACGGCUCACCUAGGCGACGAUACAUAGCCGACCUGAGAGGGUGAUCGGCCACACUGGGACUGAGACACGGCCCAGACUCCUACGGGAGGCAGCAGUAGGGAAUCUUCGGCAAUGGGGGCAACCCUGACCGAGCAACGCCGCGUGAGUGAAGAAGGUUUUCGGAUCGUAAAGCUCUGUUGUAAGUCAAGAACGGGUGUGAGAGUGGAAAGUUCACACUGUGACGGUAGCUUACCAGAAAGGGACGGCUAACUACGUGCCAGCAGCCGCGGUAAUACGUAGGUCCCGAGCGUUGUCCGGAUUUAUUGGGCGUAAAGCGAGCGCAGGCGGUUUGAUAAGUCUGAAGUUAAAGGCUGUGGCUCAACCAUAGUUCGCUUUGGAAACUGUCAAACUUGAGUGCAGAAGGGGAGAGUGGAAUUCCAUGUGUAGCGGUGAAAUGCGUAGAUAUAUGGAGGAACACCGGUGGCGAAAGCGGCUCUCUGGUCUGUAACUGACGCUGAGGCUCGAAAGCGUGGGGAGCGAACAGGAUUAGAUACCCUGGUAGUCCACGCCGUAAACGAUGAGUGCUAGGUGUUGGAUCCUUUCCGGGAUUCAGUGCCGAUGCUAACGCAUUAAGCACUCCGCCUGGGGAGUACGACCGCAAGGUUGAAACUCAAAGGAAUUGACGGGGGCCCGCACAAGCGGUGGAGCAUGUGGUUUAAUUCGAAGCAACGCGAAGAACCUUACCAGGUCUUGACAUCCCGAUGCUAUUUCUAGAGAUAGAAAGUUACUUCGGUACAUCGGUGACAGGUGGUGCAUGGUUGUCGUCAGCUCGUGUCGUGAGAUGUUGGGUUAAGUCCCGCAACGAGCGCAAC